rnacentral:rRNA from 1 species
GGUGGACAUCCUAUAUGAAUGAGUGUCCCCAACGGUGGAAAAGGUCAGGGACACGUGUCCAAACUGCCCUUCGGACCGCAAUACCCUCGGGAAACUGAGGUUAAUAGCGGACACCACACGCAGACUGGAAUGUCGCGUGUGUCAAACGCUCCGGCGCCGAAGGAUGUGGCUGCGGCCGAUUAGGUAGACGGUGGGGUAACGGCCCACCGUGCCAAUAAUCGGUACGGGUCAUGAGAGUGAGAACCCGGAGACGGAAUCUGAGACAAGAUUCCGGGCCCUACGGGGCGCAGCAGGCGCGAAACCUUUACACUGCACGCCAGUGCGAUAAGGGGAUCCCAAGUGCGUAGGCAUAGAGCCUACGCUUUUGUCCACCCUAGGGUGGUGGACGAAUAAGGGCUGGGCAAGACCGGUGCCAGCCGCCGCGGUAAUACCGGCAGCCCGAGUGAUGGCCGAUCUUAUUGGGCCUAAAGCGUCCGUAGCUGGCCGCACAAGUCCAUCGGG